GGCACCGUGGCCGAGUGGUUAAGGCGGCAGCUUUAGGCGCUGCUCUCCUCUGGAGGCGUGCGUUCGAACCGCACCGGUGUCA
rnacentral:tRNA from 1 species